rnacentral:rRNA from 1 species
CAGCAGCCGCGGGAAUACGUAGGGUGCAAGCGUUAAUCGGAAUUACUGGGCGUAAAGCGCACGCAGGCGGUCUGUCAAGUCAGAUGUGAAAUCCCCGGGCUUAACCUGGGAACUGCAUUUGAAACUGGCAGGCUAGAGUCUUGUAGAGGGGGGUAGAAUUCCAGGUGUAGCGGUGAAAUGCGUAGAGAUCUGGAGGAAUACCGGUGGCGAAGGCGGCCCCCUGGACAAAGACUGACGCUCAGGUGCGAAAGCGUGGGGAGCAAACAGGAUUAGAUACCCCUGUAGUCCCUGUCUCUUAUAC